CAAGAGUUGCCCUGUUUUACCAUAGGGGAGGGAGGUUACUGAGGCAAUAUGGGAAACGAGGAAUAAGUUACCAGGGGCCUGUGGAAACUAGUGGCACCAAAGUGGACAGACUGAGACCGCAGAUCAGACUGGCAUCAAGAUAACAGCUGGGAAGUGACUGUGGGUUAAAUAUUCAUGGAUACAUGUGCUGCCUCUCUCCAGGUAUCCAGAAAAGGCCCUCGUUCCUAAGACAACAAUUCAAGGUCAAGAGAACAAAAAAGAAAUUGAAAAAGCCACAAAACCAUAAAAUACCUAGGAUUAAAUCUCACAAGACCUCUGUGAAGAUGACUACAAAACUUUACCGAAGAACGUAAAAGAAGACUUGAAUACCUCAUGCCUGGAUGGAAUAAAGAAUAUCAUAAAGAAGAGAAUCAUCGGCUGUACGGGUGGGUGAGCUGAGGCACCCAGAAAUU
rnacentral:lncRNA from 10 species